CCAUCCAUUCAUGAGAGAUUAUUGCUUUUUUAGAUUGAUACCUUUCAUUUCUUAUUUUUUUCUUAAAGAGAGCAAAGGAUUUUGAAAAUAUCAAAGCUUACCCGGCUGUCUGUCUGUUUGUAUAUCUAUUUAUAAACAGUGUAACAAAUUAGAACGUGUGCACAUUUGAGACCACAGUGUUUAACCACACUAGUGUGUGUCUAUCUAUCUAUCUAUCUAUCUAUCUAUCUAUCUAUCUAUCUAUCUAUCUAUCUAUCUAUCUAUCUAUCUAUCUAUCUAUCUAUCUAUCUAUCUAUCUAUCUAUCUAUCUAUCUAUCUAUCUAUCUAUCUAUCUAUCUAUCUAUCUAUCUUCUGUCUCUCAUCUGUCUCUCUGUCUAUCUGCUUGUCUACCUGUCUAUAAUCAGCCAAAAAUAGGAACAAGAUCACCAUUAACAUACAAGCUAAAUGCUAUAGAGAAAGUUAAACUGGGUUUAGCCAGCAUGGUUAUUUUAUUUAUUUAUUUUUUAUUUUUUGCAGUUCAUUCAUGGUAUACAUUACUUCAUUUAACAAAACAAACAUAGUACAAACAGUAUGGUUUCCACAAAAUGUAGCCUGUGAAUCUGCAGUUUUGUGUUUGGACGCUCUAAGGCUAACUCUCUGUUUGGGUGUGGGUCAUUUUCUGAUCUUUCUGCAGGUGGAGGCCUGACAGACGUGCCAGUCCUGCUGCCAAUUGUCCUCCGCCUCAGCCUGCAGACAUGGCUUAAUACUCUCACACACAAACACACACUCAUGCAGACUUACACAUGCAUACUUAUUUCAACCUCAUCUUUAAAAUCACUCAAAUCAUGCACCCGUGCCACAAACACAAAUACUCACCCACCUACACAGGCUGCUGAAAGCACGCAUGAUUGCCAGCCUGUCAGUCACAUCAUAUGUCAACUAUCUCCCAUGAUUCCCAGGCUGUCACACAUGAUCUCACACAGACCUGUUUGUGCAUUAAGAACAUCAGACAAGAAUGCAGAUACUCAAAGUAAUACGUAGAGUUAGGUCUUAUACCACCAUGAUGGCACAGUUACUGGUCCACCCCACUUCUAUAUUUAAAUGGGUUGAGCUCAACAAAACAGGGACACUGAGCCCCCCUCUUACCGGGAUCAUCUGUCUGCCUGGUGGACGAGCUGCGUCCUGCCCACUGCACCCAAUUCACAUAGAAAUUUACUCAAAUACUACAGAGGGUUUCAGGAGGAAGGAUUGCUGGAAGAGAUCAGCGGGACUCACUGAGUGGGCAGAGAAAAAUAGCCAGGCCAGUGAAGAUGGAUGGGUGACAGUCCCAUUGGUCACAGCGAUUCAGCACUCAGUCACCACGGAGACAAGCAGUGAAACCAGGAAUGCUGAAAGCCAAAUGAUUUGUGCUGUGAAAAAAAUUUAUAUUUUAGAUAAUUUUCUUAAACAUAAUUUAAUUUAUCAUGUAAAGUAAUGGAGCUUAAGCACAUUAAAUAAAUGCUCACCAUCAAAAUGGUGAUGUGAUAAG
ensembl:lncRNA